rnacentral:lncRNA from 1 species
UUUUUUGGGGGGGGGGGGGAGGGGGAGGUUGAUAUUUAUGUUGUGUUCAUCUGAAAGAAGCAAUAUUUGGUAAAAAUUGUUAGUGAAUCUAUGCGCAUUAUGGCUAUGUUGGUAAUUUGCUUCAUAGGUUGUAGGAUUUUGUACUCUUUCGGUUUGUUUAAAUAAGAAAAAGAAAAGAAAAAUCCCCAUCAUUUUAUAAAAAUGCAUCGGUAUUCCUUUA